rnacentral:lncRNA from 1 species
UCCCCUCCCUCUCUCUAAUCCCCUGCCAGUGCCUCCCACUGGUCAAACCUAGCUAGAAGCCAGAGGGCAAGAGAGACGUCUAGAGAAGGAUGACUAUGAGGGAAAACCAGCCGUGGAUGGCUCAGAACCCUCAGGAUAUAGUACAGGCCUCUCCAGGCCCCCCGACUCCCAUGAUCUCUUAGGAAUUAUGACCCAAACCUCUCACUGCACUCCCUGUGCUUCCGCCACGCGGGCAUCCUCGGUGUUCUUUGGACACACCAGGCCUUUACACUUGCUGUUCCUUCUGUGUGGAUUUUGUCCACCGAAUAUCCACACGGCUCCCUUCCUUUUUUUUCCUUAUCACUUUCUAAGUGAGGGCUUCUCUGACUGUCCUACUGAAGUGUCCACCCCUCCCCCACUGGCCCUUCUUCUCUUCCUCCUGCUUCAUUCUUCUCUCUAGUUUUCAUGACCAUUUAACAGUUUAUACAAUUUGUGUAUGUAUAAUUUUUAGUGCCUACCUCCUCCCUCUAGAGUGUAAGCCCCAUGAGGUCAGAGAUGUUUGGCUUCUUUGUUUACUGCCCGUAGUCCCAGUGCAUAGAAUUGUCCCUGGCAAGUACUCAAUAAAUAUUUGCUGAGUAAAUGACUAGUUGGCUCAAGAUCCCAACACCCCCUUUAGUUGCAUUCACUGGUUCCUGCAGUAAACUUUGGGGUGGGGAUGGAUCGGAGUGGGGCGUGUAAAGAGGCAGCCUGAACAGUUAGGAUGCGCUCCUGAUCCUUGGCUUCCCCAUCCAUGAGGCGAGGGGGUCGAGCAGGAGGCCUCCAAAGACCUUUCCAGCCUCACCAUGCUGGAAACCUAAGAGCAUUUCCACGGCAGAAGUACUUGGGAGAGAAAAUUAAUCCUCUCCUUAAUCAGCGGUUCCCAUCUCUACACGUGACUUGUCAAGGGAACUUUUCUCUGAUGCUCACACGAUGCGGGAACUUGUCACAUCUUCCAUCUCUGGGAACAUCCUCACCUGAAAUUGAAAGGUAAAUAUUUCAGUUGUGAGUCUCUCUGUCAUGACUCAAAUAAUUUUAAAAUUGCUUAGAUGUCUUUGCCUAACAAUGUUCAGAUUGUUCUAAUGCAGGGGAAAACGGUAGUUUUAGACACCGUAAUAUUGAUAGCAGCUAGUAAUUUCCAUGUAUUUCUCACGGUUAUUGGCACUGUGAGGAUUACCAAGGAGAGAUUUUUACUUAUUAGAAAGACAUUCUAUGCCGAGGGCCUGGCAAUAGAAGAUGCUCGCUAGAUGAUGACUUUUGCAAUAACUAUUUUCGUUGAGUUGGGCUGAAAAAUAGCCAUGCUUAUUUCCCGGAUGCUAAAAUGUCUGCAGGCAUCUCAGCUCCAAGGGAUUUUAUCCUCAGUGGACCCCUUUAGAAAUCAGGACAGGCCCACUGCAAGAGUAGCAGAAACUUUGUAGGGCAGAAAGGAUUGCAAAGUAUUAAGAAGGAUUUAUGACUAGGGGGUCAGUGGACAGAGAGCCCAGGGCUGGAACAAUCCUUGUCUCAUUCAUUCAGCAGUUAGUCUCUUGCGCCUUUGUGGAAAUCAAACUCUGUCCCUGCCCUCAUGCAGCUACCAGUCUAGUCGGAAGGGCAGACAGUAUAGUGCGCAGUAAACGUCAGUCAGUCGGUGGGUCUCAGUGCAAUGCUAGGAGAAGGCACUGGGAGUUUCUUUGAGUGUUUAUAACAUCAAAGAAAGAUGUUAACAACUGUGCAUUGAAUCAAGCAUACAUUUUUUGGUGGUGGUUUUUUGUUUGUUUGUUUGUUUUUUUGCCAUCCUCACUCACCAGUGCUAGCACAAAGGGAAAAGGGACUAACACAGUAAGCGAUUAUCACCAUUUAAAAGACUAUGCUGUUUAUUUAUGUCAUCCUUUCUAUUGUCUAUUUCCUUCUUGAGGCCCAGGAAUUUUAUGAUUUGUUAAAUGGUUUAAUCCCCAGCAUCUAGAAUCAUGUUGGCUGCAUAGUAAAUACCCAGUAAAUAUCUGUUGGCUGAUGGUCUAGACCAGCCCCCCUGCACAGAGGAAGAAAUAAAAGUGGGCCCUCAUCAAGAGAGAAGCUGGAAGAGCCCCAGGGUCCACAUAGUCAAUGGGGCACAUAGUGGUGAGGGUGACAGCUGGGAGGAGGGGACAAGGUUGCAGAGCCUGGAAGUGUGGCCAGAUCCUAGAAGGCUUGAAUGCCAGGCCAAGCAUCUUGACCUGUGUCCUGAGGUCCUACAGAGACACGAAAGGAUUUUUAGCUGGAGUGCGGCCUUCUCAGAUUCCUGCUGCAAGACUUCUUUCUUUCCAAAGAGGUUUCCAAGUUCCUUUUGUGUCACUUGCUUUCUUCGACUCGGCCAAUCUUACUUGGGCUUUCUCUAGCAAAAGUCUUUCAGUGAGUGAAAGGCACCCCCUUUAUCUGCUCCUCCCUUUCCCAAAUUCAAGCCCACAUUCUUCCUGUAAACCCAAACUCCAGCUAAAUUAGGCAAACAUUUUAAAAUGGCAACUCGAGAAGGACGUUUUAGCAAUUGUGUGAUGAAGAUGUCACAUCUUUGUCAUCUCAUUGCAGCCUGAAGGACAGCUGGCAGGGAACUUCCUUUGAGGGAUUUUAAUAAUGAGUGCAAUCCUUGCGGUGUAUAAAAAUGAUGACAACUGGAUGCCAGUUUCAGAGGAUGGGUCAAACUUUAGACCUGUGUGUCUGUGCUACAUGCCGUGGAUCAGGAUCUUUCUCUAUCAAUAUCUAGAUAAGAUAUAGAUACACACACGUGUGCACACAAAACACUUUAUGCUGACAAGUAUUUCUUAACCAUCUCCUAGGUUCCAGACACCACCGUAGAUGCUGGUGCCAGGGACUCAGUGUGCCCAAGAAGCCAUGUCCUUGCUUCUUUUAGUGUCGUAGGGAAGAUUUAACACGUGGUCAUCAGAUCACCACACACAAAAAAAUAGCUUUUUUUAUCUACUAUGUGUGAUUGGUACACAUUUUCUCAUUUAGCUCCCACAGCAACUCCUUAACGUUAAUACCUCUAUCUCUGUCUUGUUAGACAAGGAAGCCGAGUGUUGCAAAGUCAGUGAGGCAGUCAGGACAUGGCUUCUUGGGCACGCCGAGUUCCUGGCACCAGCAUCUAGGGUGGUGUCUGGAACCUAGGAGAUGGUUAAGAAAUAUUUGAACUUAGGGAGUUCCCGUCAUGGCACAGUGGAAACGAAUCCGACUAGGAACCAUGAGGUUGCGGGUUUGAUCCCUGGCCUCACUCAGUGGGUUAAGGAUCCGGCGUUGCCAUGAGCUGUGGUGUAGGUCGAGGCCGAGGCUCAGAUCUGGCCUUGCUGUGGCUGGGGUGUAGGCUGGCAGCUGUAGCUCUGAUUCGACCCGUAGCCUGGGAACCUCCAUAUGCCUCAAGUGCAGCCCUAAAAAGACAAAAGG